AUUGAACGCUGGCGGCAGGCCUAACACAUGCAAUUCGAGCGAAGCGGCGGACGGGUAAGUCCUGCUUAGGAAUCUGCCUGGUAGUGGGGGAUAACGUACGGAAACGGGCGCUAAUCCCGCAUACUCUCAACUUAGCAUAGGUCGGAUUAGCUAGUUGGUGGGGUAAAGGCAUACCAAGUCGACGAUCAGUAAAUGGUCUGAAAGGAUGAUCAGUCACACUGGAACGGAGACACGGUCCAGACUCCUACGGGAGGCAGCAGUGGGGAAUAUUGGACAAUGGGCGAAAGCCUGAUCCAGCCAUGCCGCGUGUGUGAAGAAGGUCUUCGGAUUGUAAAGCACUUUAAGUUGGGAGGCGUUACCAACAGAAUAAGCACCGGCUAACUUCGUGCCAGCAGCCGCGGUAAUAC
rnacentral:rRNA from 1 species